GACGACCGGCGCACGGGUGAGUAACGCGUAUGCAACCUACCUUUAUCAGGAGGAUAGCCCCGAGAAAUCGGGAUUAAUACUCCAUAAUGUAACAAAUUCGCAUGUUUUUGUUAUUAAAGUUCCGGCGGAUAAAGAUGGGCAUGCGUGACAUUAGUUAGUUGGUGAGGUAACGGCUCACCAAGGCAACGAUGUCUAGGGGUUCUGAGAGGAUUGUCCCCCACACUGGUACUGAGACACGGACCAGACUCCUACGGGAGGCAGCAGUGAGGAAUAUUGGUCAAUGGGCGAGAGUCUGAACCAGCCAUGCCGCGUGCAGGAAGACUGUUCUAUGAAUUGUAAACUGCUUUUCUACAGGAAGAAAUCAUGCUACGUGUAGUGUGUUGCCGGUACUGUAGGAAUAAGCACCGGCUAACUCCGUGCCAGCAGCCGCGGUAAUACGGAGGGUGCAAGCGUUAUCCGGAUUUAUUGGGUUUAAAGGGUGCGUAGGCGGAAUAGUAAGUCAGUGGUGAAAUCCUGCGGCUCAACCGUAGAACUGCCAUUGAUACUGUUAUUCUUGAAUGUAGUUGAGGUAGGCGGAAUGUGUAAUGUAGCGGUGAAAUGCUUAGAUAUUACACAGAACACCGAUUGCGAAGGCAGCUUGCUAAGCUACGAUUGACGCUGAUGCACGAAAGCGUGGGGAGCGAACAGGAUUAGAUACCCUGGUAGUCCACGCUGUAAACUAUGAUCACUCGUUGUUUGCGAUAUACAGUAAGCGACUGAGCGAAAGCAUUAAGUGAUCCACCUGGGGAGUAAGUCGGCUACAAUGAAACUCAAAGGAAUUGACGGGGGCCCGCACAAGCGGAGGAACAUGUGGUUUAAUUGGAUGAUACGCGAGGAACCUUACAUGGGUUUAAAUGUAGGCUGCAUAGAGGGGAAACUCUCUUUUCAUUAGGGACUACUUACAAGGUGUUGCAUGGUGGUAGUCAGCUCGUGCCGUGAGGUGUCGGGUUAAGUCCCAUAUCGAGAGCAACCAUAAUAGUUAGUUGCCAUCAGGUCAUGCUGGGGACUCUAACGAGACUGCCGGUGUAAACUGUGAGGAAGGUGGGGAUGACGUCAAAUCAGCACGGCCCUUAUAUCCAGGGCUACACACGUGUUACAAUG
rnacentral:rRNA from 1 species